UCCGGUUUGUCACCGGCAGUCUCGCUAAAGUGCCCAACUAAAUGAUGGCAAUUAACGACAAGGGUUGCGCUCGUUGCGGGACUUAACCCAACAUCUCACGACACGAGCUGACGACAGCCAUGCAGCACCUGUGUCCCAGUUCUCUUUCGAGCACUCCCGCCUCUCAGCAGGAUUCCAGGCAUGUCAAGGGUAGGUAAGGUUUUUCGCGUUGCAUCGAAUUAAUCCACAUCAUCCACCGCUUGUGCGGGUCCCCGUCAAUUCCUUUGAGUUUUAAUCUUGCGACCGUACUCCCCAGGCGGCGAACUUCACGCGUUAGCUGCGGUACUAAAGAAGUCUCCUUCUCCAACACCUAGUUCGCAUCGUUUAGGGCGUGGACUAC
rnacentral:misc_RNA from 1 species